rnacentral:rRNA from 1 species
AUGCGUAGGAAUCUACCUAGUAGUAUGGAAUAGCCAUUAGAAAUGAUGAGUAAUACUGUAUAAUCCCUGCGGGGGAAAGAUUUAUCGCUAUUAGAUGAGCCUACGUUAGAUUAGCUAGUUGGUAAGGUAAUGGCUUACCAAGGCUAUGAUCUAUAGCUGGUCUGAGAGGACGAUCAGCCACACUGGAACUGAGAUACGGUCCAGACUCCUACGGGAGGCAGCAGUGGGGAAUAUUGGACAAUGGGCGAAAGCCUGAUCCAGCUAUGCCGCGUGAGUGAAGAAGGCCUUCGGGUUGUAAAGCUCUUUCAAUAGGGAAGAUAAUGACGGUACCUAUAGAAGAAGUCCCGGCAAACUCCGUGCCAGCAGCCGCGGUAAUACGGAGGGGGCAAGCGUUGUUCGGAAUUAUUGGGCGUAAAGGGCACGUAGGUGGACUAGUAAGUUAAAAGUGAAAUACCAAAGCUCAACUUUGGAGCUGCUUUUAAUACUGCUAGACCAGAGGUCGAAAGAGGAUAGCGGAAUUCCUAGUGUAGAGGUGAAAUUCGUAGAUAUUAGGAGGAACACCAGUGGCGAAGGCGGCUAUCUGGUUCGAUACUGACACUGAGGUGCGAAGGCGUGGGGAGCAAACAGGAUUAGAUACCCUGGUAGUCCACGCUGUAAACGAUGAGUGCUAAAUGUGAGGAUUUUAUCUUUGUAUUGUAGCUAACGCGUUAAGCACUCCGCCUGGGGACUACGGUCGCAAGACUAAAACUCAAAGGAAUUGACGGGGACCCGCACAAGCGGUGGAGCAUGUGGUUUAAUUCGAUGCUACGCGAAAAACCUUACCACUUUUUGACAU